AAUUUUGUACAAUGGGGGAAACCCUGAUCCAGCCAUCCCGCGUGUAUGAUGAAGGCCUUCGGGUGGUAACGUACUUUUGGCAGAGAAGAAAAGGUAUCUCCUAAUACGACAUACUGCUGACGGUAUCUGCACACUAAGCACCGGCUAACUACGUGCCACAAGCCGCGUGAAUACGUAGUGUGCAAGCGGUAAUCGGAAUUACUGGGCGUAAAGCGUUUGUAGGCGGUUCGGAACGAAAGAUGUAAAACCCCAGGGCUCAACCUUGGAACUGCAUUUUUAACUGCAGAGCUAGAGUAUGUCAGAGGGGAGUAGAAUUCCACGUGUAGCAGUGAAAUGCGUAGAUAUGUGGAGGAAUACCGAUGGCGAAGGCAGCCCCCUGGGAUAAUACUGACGCUCAGACACGAAAGCGUGGGGAGCAAACAGG
rnacentral:rRNA from 1 species